AAACUGUGCCACUAUUUGUACCAUCAUUUUCACCAAAAUCUAAAAAUGCUUUUUAUGACGUAUGGAGACAUUCUUCAUGUUUGUUUCAGUGGACACUCCUUGCAGAUGUAAAAAACUGAGAAAACUCACUUUUGGAAAGUGACCUAAAGAGUGUCAUUGAAGUGAAUUUUAAGUAGGCACGAUGAUUGUUUUCAUGGUUGCUGUUGGAUCAUAUCUCAGGAGCUGGAAUGACAGACAUUAUUGAACAAAGAAAUCAGGAUAGUGGAACUUAAAGGGCUUCAUCUCAGUGCUUUCAUAAGUAUGAAGUGCAUAUAUUUAUAAUUUUCACUAAUCACAGGGUAAAUAUAAAAUUGAUUCAUUAAAAAUGUUUCAUAAGAAUUCAAAGGACAUAGAAUUUUGUGAAAUGUAGUAUUUUUACUUAAGUGCCUUUUCUCUGCUUCUACCCCACAGCCAAUUUUUUAUAAACCAGUUGAUAACAUAAGUAGUUUUUGGGGGAUGAUACAUUACUUAUACAUUUUCUAUGUAGUAAACAUGUAUGUGUAUGUGUGUGGGUGUGUGUCUAAUUACUUUGUUGGACAGAUUCCUGUGGUUUGGAACUGCUGGGGCCAAGUUUAUACAAAAAUCUACAUUUUUGAGUAAACUCCCCAUGACUCUAGUAAGUUUCCACAGUAUUUGAGUAUUCUUUAUUUCCUAAAGCUGUACAAACAUCAGAUAAUCAAUAUUUGUAAGGAUCGAUAAUAUAAUUUAUAAUGAAAUUGCUUUAUCAGCUAUUAAUGUUAACUACAUCAUCUUCAUAUAGCCUUAUAACUCAUUUGUGCUAUUCCAUUUUCCUCUGUUCCUUUUAUUUUCACUUCCCUUGUAAUGUUAGUCUCUUUGUACUGAUUUCUGAAGAGUUCAUUUAUGAUUAAACAUGUUAACAUUUUGUCUAGAAUUGCAAAUAUGUUUUUUCUCAUUCAUUUUACUAUGGUGUUUUAUUUUUUGGUUAUACAGAAGUUGUAUAUUGAAAUAUAAUCUUGUUCUGUUUUAUGACUUUGGAGUUUUGUGGUUUUUUAAAACAUGUUUACAUUGGUAUCAUUUAUUUGUAUUGCCUUCUAUUUCAGCAGUUAGUUUGUCAUUUCUUUUUCCAUUAAUCAUCAUUCUGGUGUUAAUGAAUGCAUUAAAUAUUUAAAGUACUCACUUUGACCCGUGUAGUUAUCUGUUAAGUUCUACCAUAAAGAAAAUUUCCAGGUAAAAUUGGCUACAUUUCUGUUAACUUGCCUUACCAUUUUAUUGACACUUUAAUAAUUACUAAUGAUUUAUACUGUCUUAUCUAUUCCAUUGAGUUCUAUCUCAUUUCUCUUCUUUUUCAGAAUAUUCCCUCUGUAUACUUGCAUUUUUUUCUAUCAAUUGACGCUUACAAUUAUUUUUGCAAGUUGGAAAAAAAUGCAGUAUUAAUUUCAUUUGCAACAAAUUUAAUAGAUUAAUUAGGAGAGAAUAGAUAUCUUUAAAAUUGAGUCUUCUGUCCAACUGCAAGUUAUAGCUGAGGUGGUACCAGUUUAAGAAGUGAGAACUUCUUCACUGACUGAAAUUUGCAUAUCAAUCCAAAUCAUUGUGCUUAUUUACUAUUUUUGUAGACGUCAUUCUUCAAAAGUGCUGCAUCUUCAAUAGUCAAGGAGGACAAAGACAUCUUUCCUGCAGGUGGUGACCAUGUGGAUAAUAGGAUCAUAGACAAAUGGUGGUUCCAUCUACAGCAUCACCGAAAUGCUGUUGUUACUGCUUCUUUCUGGGAUCUUCUUGCAUCUUUGCUUCUAAAGGGGCACACCUUUUAUAGAAGUACGUCCAGGAAUAGAAGUGACCUGCUUUUUCGCAACUGGGUCUCUGACAUGUUGAGAAUGCUGAAGAAGAAAAAGUACAGAAGGAGAAAGCAGAGAUGGGGAAAGCUGCAUCCCUCAAAUAGGAUACCACUGGAUACUGAGCAGUGAACAACCUCUGGUUUUGUCGGACACCAUUUUGGAAUAUUUGGACACAGUUUCCGGAAGGAUGAGAGACCUAAUCAAUGGUAGUAAGAUGUUUAAAAUAUUAUUAAUACGAAUGAAUGCUUAGGCAAGGUUGACGGUAAAGCUCUUCUGUACAAUAGGUAGCGUUAAUAAAGAAAUGACAAGAUUUGGAAAAUCAGUAUUUGGAAAUAAUCAUAAUUGUUUCAGCCAGGAAUCAUCAAAUGAUGCUAAAACUUGGAGAAAAUUUUAAGAGAAACAGGACAUUUGGUGUCCUUAUCAGUUACAAAGGGAAAGUAGUAGCUUCCUGAUGGAGAACAUGGUUGACAGCACCUGAAUUAAAGAGGUGAAAGUUAAUACCACAGUAGUGGGAACAUCAGGCAGCGCUGAUAGGAUGCACUGAGAAGAACACAGUCUCAUUUCUGUAGUAUUACUGACUAAACUGCAGAAACCUGAGUCUACCCAUGAGGAAACAUCAGUCUCAAAUUGACUGAUAUUUUGCUUUUAGUAUUCAAACAUACUAAUUUCACUGAGGAAAUGGUCCAGAUUAUUUCAGACUAUAUAGACAUGAGAAUGGAAUAUCACAUUGGUUCAGGAUGUCUAUAAAAGGAUAAGGAAGGUUGGCAAAAUUUGAAGACAGUCCCUCAAGUAGAUUAUAGUGUUACGUGAGUAUUAAUUGCCUAAGUUAUAUAAUUGCCUGAGGUUAUAUAACAGAAAAUUCUUGUUUUUAAGAAAUUAAAACAAUUUAAAGGAUAAAGGGAUAAUGUCAUAGCUGUAAUUUUCCAAGCAUUUGGAUAAAAUAAUAUACAUGUUUCAAAAAAAAAAUGAAACAGAUGUUGUAAGAUGUUAGCAAAUAGGGAAUCCAGGUGGAAAUAAUCCAGGAAUUAUGGAUAGUCUUGUAUCUGUUCAGCAGGUCUGAAAGUAGUUGAUGAAAAUAAUGCAAAAGAACAUGUCAAAAAGAAAUGGUUUGGGCAUAUGGCUUCAAGCAUACAUAAAUGCUCAGGAAACAUGAAAAUGUGAAAUAAAUGGAUGAGUACUAUAAUACCAGCAGGCCUUGUAGAUACCUGCAUUUGAAGCAUUUAUAUUAGAAGGAAGCCUUUUUACCCAGAAUUUUUUUCACUUAGCCUAAUGUUUUCAAGGUUUGGCCAUGUUGCAGCAUAUAUCAGAUCUCCAUUUUUUUUGAUGGAGGAGUGAUAUUCUAUUGUAUAAAUAUAUCACAUUUUGCUCAUCCACUCACUAGUUUUUGGCUAUUAUGACUAAUCCCGCCAGGAAUAUUUAUGUGGAGGUUUUUGUGUGUUUAUGUUUUCAAUUCUAUUAUACAUGAGAAUAUAGUAACUGUGUUUAUUUGACAUUUUGAGGACCUGUCUGUAAGUGAUGUUUAAGAUAAUUUUUGUUACAUUUGAAGGCAGAUAAUAGUCUAUGCAAAAUGAAUAUUCUGUUGAAUAUUGAUGUGAAC
rnacentral:lncRNA from 1 species